GCUGGGUGUGGUGGUGCAUGCCUGUAAUCCCAGCUACUCGGGAGGCUGAGGCAGAAGAAUUGCUUGAGCCUGGGAGAUGGAGGUUGCAGUGAGCCGAAAUUAUGCCACUGCACUCCAGCCUGGCCAACAGAGCAAGACUCUGUCUCAA
rnacentral:SRP_RNA from 1 species